AACGUAGGCAGCGAGCGUUGUUCGGAGUUACUGGGCGUAAAGGGUGUGUAGGCGGUUGUUUAAGUUUGGUGUGAAAUCUCCCGGCUCAACUGGGAGGGUGCGCCGAAUACUGAAUGACUUGGAGUGCGGGAGAGGAGAGUGGAAUUCCUGGUGUAGCGGUGGAAUGCGCAGAUAUCAGGAGGAACACCAAUGGCGAAGGCAGCACUCUGGUACGUGACUGACGCUGAGACGCGAAAGCGUGGGGAGCAAACAGG
rnacentral:rRNA from 1 species